AAGAUGUUCCCAAGAUAUGAUUAGUUUAGAUUUAUCUGUUUAUGGUACAAAAUCGCGUGAGAACUCAUCUGAUUUAAAUACUAAAAGUCAGAUAAACGAUUUUUUAAAACAAGUUAAGGACAUCAUCAAGGGAAUAUGUACAGCUAAAACAGCUAUCGUCACAAGGCAGUCGCUAAAAAUCUGGCACCGACUUGAACCGACUAACACGUGAUGCUAACUAACCUCUAACGUUGGUUUUCAAAAGAAAUCGAACGCCGCUGGUUUGCUACUUCUACCACCAAACGUCGCCGACUUCUUCGGUCUCCUGACGUCGGAGGGAACCUCAGGCGGAGUCAUUGUACGGAUGAGCGCAAAAUUUAGACCUUUGAAAAACGAGUGCACUUUCACCUCCGCCGCACCUCGCCGUGACCCGAGCCGUUUACUCGGAUCCUUGUUGAGCAACCCGGAGAUCAAACUUCGAGCGUGAAGCUCAAACAUCGUCGCCGGCGAAUCGGUCGGGAAACUCAAUGGUCUUUUCACUAUGUUACGUAGGAUGAUGUCAUUAGUCGGCGCGGCGAAGGGAGUCCGACCGUAGAUGAUCUCGUAGAGGAAUACUCCGAAGGCCCACCAGUCAACGGCGUUCCCAUGGGACCCACCAGAGGCGACUUCCGGUGCAACGUACUCAUGCGUACCAACAAAGGAACCGGACCGGGCGGUAACCGGUUCAGCUACAAAGAGACGGUUCGGUUCUAGCGUCUGGACCUUUUUGGACCGCAAGACGCGGUUGAAAAGCUUAGCGAGACGAGUGAGUCGACGCGGGGAAGAGUGAGGUUGAUUCUCCGGCGUGGAUGAGGAGGAUUCAACGGCGGCGAUUGAGUCGGAGCAUAAGGAGAGGUCAAAGUCAGAGAGCAUGAUGUGACCGUCCGAUCUAACUAAGAUAUUUUCAGGCUUGAGAUCUCUGUAGAUGAUACCCAACAUGUGUAGAUAUUCUAACGCCACUAGAACUUCAGCCGCGUAAAAUCUGUUACAGUUACAAACAAAAAAUAAUUUAUUAAUUAUAUAAACAUGUAACACAAAAAAAAGUUCAUAAUUAUUGUUAAUGUGAUUGGUUGAAAAUGACUCUUCAUGACAUAUUCUUUUUUUUCGUAACAUAUUCAACGAACUGAAAAAGCCGACAUGAUUAGAACAGGUCUGUUAUUACAGAAGAACAUAACAAAAGGUGUACAGAGUCGAUGCAUGCAAGUUCGUACACAUUGUCUGAAUUUUAUACAAUUUUAUUUUUUAUUUUAUUUUUUUACCUGGCGGAGGCGAGGGAGAAUCUGUGGUGAGGCUGUUUGUGACGGAGAGAAUGCAAGUCUCCGCCGGAGCAAUACUCCAUGACGAUGCAAGAGAAGUGUGAAGCUUCGAACUCUGCGUAAAGAGACGGCAAAAAUGGAUGGUCGAGCAUCUUCAAGAUCUUUUUCUCCAUCUCAGCUCUGUGCAUCUUCUUCUUCAUCGCAAGCGCUUCGUUAUCCACAACUUUCAUCGCGAAGUACGAGCUCCGGCUCUCUUCUUGGUCUCCGGCGAGACGGCAUAGGUAUACGGUUCCGAUAUCUCCGGCGCCGAUACGACGCAUGAGGCGAAAAUCUCGGAACGUUAGGCCGUGUUUCCGCCGUCGUAGGAUCUCUGCGUAAGCGAAGUCGGAGGAUCUGUGGGGUUUAAGAGAGAGGCAGCUCUCUUCCUCGGGGAUUAUGGCGGUGGUUGACGGCGGCGUGUCGAAAGAUAGCCGGCUGAAACUGCUGCAACUUUCUGUUCCGCUGCUAAUCGACGAGUUUGCUGUCUCUAAGCUCAUGUCGCCGUCUGAUUCUGGUAACAUCGUCGGAAUUCAAAGUAAAAAUUGGAGGAAUGUGUAGAGAAAUAGGAAUCCGAAAGGAGUGUCUAUGGUUGAGAAAGAAGAGGAAGAUUUUGAAGUUGAGAGAGUUUAGAGAGAGGCGAGAGGGUUGGUGUGGGGUAUUUAUGGGUGGGGAAGGUGUUAGAGCAUAAUUAUUGGUAGUACUUAAAAAUAGUCUUUAGCUUAUUUUAGUAUUAUUUGUGUGUUAAGAAACAAGGUUAAAGACAUUUAGAAAAAUGUUGAUUAUUGGUAGGACUUUGUAAAGUCUUUAGUUAUCUUUACAAUUGAAAAAAUAUGUUUCAAUCGCAAAUGUUUUAAUCGUAUAAAAAAUUCAGUUUAUCUCACACUAUCUGAAACAAACACAAACUGGUUCUGUCUCCAUUGGUUUUCUUAUGACAUCUCAACAUUGGUUUCCUUAUGACAUCUCAAUUCGGAGUGUUUAACAUCUUAUGCAUCAACAUGAUGAAUUCAAGCUAGCUAGCUAUCAGGUUUUUAGACAAGUGUAAAAUCAAGACAAACAAAGUGGAAAAAAAAACAUACUGGUUUCUUCAGUAUCAUCAGUUCUAACAGCAAACACUAGAGGCAAUGGGAGAUCUGCAAACAAUAAAUAAACAACACUAACAAUAAUCUGAUGAACAAGUGGGUACUUAAUUACAACGAUCUUGAGGUGAGAAAGUUAACCAUCAACAGGGAGAGUGUCCCUCAUCCACUCCUCGUCCACAAUGUCUAUAAGCAUACCAAGACUCACUUUUGCCAUUGGACUCCCUCAAUAUUCCUACUGCAAAAAAAAUGUUCAAAAUUCAGAUGACAACUCACAAUUAUACAUGAAUAACUGAAACAAUCUAUAGAUAGCUCCGUUGGAGAUGAAAAAAAAAAAGCUUAGAAUUUCUUUUGAGGAAAUUCGUCGAGUAGGUGGUGAGCAAUCAAGGAAAGAGGCCCAAAUAACAGAAAAAAAAAAUUAAACCCAACCCUUGAUGAAAGACACGAUUCUCAAAACUAAAAAAACUUACUUUGAUCGAAGAAGAGAAGAAUGGAAGAAGAAGAAGACUCAGCUUUGUUGUUAUUUGAGAGAUAACACGAACGAAGAAGAAGAAGAGAAGAAGACUGCCCUCCUUUUCUCUCCAAGGUAACGCUAAAGACGUUGUCAAAAAGUUCUUAAUUAAAUCACGUCCUUAGUUUUUUCAUUUAUUUUGAUUUAUUUUUGGGAUGAUUUUCAUUAAGGACUUUGUUAAGAACCACCGAUAAUGUUGGCUUUAGGAAAAAAAAACUGUAGCAGUAAAAAGAGCCUUUUUAGACCUCUUGUUUACUUGAUUGUACUUUUCAACGCAGAGGUGUAUAAAAGAGAGCAAAGAGACCUUAACGUACGCAGAUAAGACACGUGUAGGACGCUGGCACGUGCCUCGAGAUAGAGCAGCAGUAGCUUCCUUUCUUGUACACUGACUACACCAAUUAUCCCGAUAUGAAUUCAGAAAAUAACACGGUAACACACAAACCAUAAGCAUACGUAUUAUAGUCAGUUUACUGUUUCUAGUCAUUCGAUCUUCGUAUUCUAAUUAAUAUACCGACUACAUACCUAAUUAUCAUUAAAGACGAUCCAGAGGCUGGAAGGGACCGACCCAACCUAUAUAUACUAGAUGUCGUUGGAGUAUUAUGUUAGGUUCCAUGAGUUGGUUUUGGAUCCAAGAAAAAUUGUUUGUAGGUUAGGUUCGGUUCGGGUCUCGUUUGAUUCUACAUUAAUGUAAAUGUGAGAUGUCUUGUUUGAUUUCGCGCUACCUCCUACAUAUUACGUGUGGUAUUUGUAGAUCCUAAAAUCUACAUUAAGAAUUUGAUAGUGAUCGGGAGUUCAAUCUAGGGAAGAAAUAACGUGGACAACGAUAUCCUUAGAACACAACGAUGUAAUUAGGUAUGAGUCGACAAGAAUGAACUAUAUUCGCAGGUCAAAUAUCAUAGAGAUAUCGAGAUUAAGAAGGAUCGUGAUUGAACUUGGGAUCGAGCUGCCUACGUACCCGUCAAGGGAUGAAGUCUAAACGUAGUUCGAUUAUAAUCAUCUCGAAAGAUAUGUCGGUUUCUUCGGUCAUGGGCGAGACCUCAACUUCGUCGGUCUCGAGCUCGAUGUUUGCUUCGAGCUCUCUUGUCUUGAAUAAUUAGUAGUUAGUGUACGAUUGAUAAGUUCUCGAACUGCAUAUGAUCUCUUUAGAUCGAUCUUGUCGUAUGAAGAUAAGGACGAUCAUUAACAUGAUACGAGGGUCGCUAUCGUCAUGGAUUCUUGUUUUCACAAUUACAAAGAUGUGUUUACGUCGUGAGAUGAUUAUUGGGAAUCUCAUCUCUCUCGUUCUUCUUAAACCAUAAAGAAAUGGAUGACUUGUUUAAUCAUUAAACAGAUAUAAUGAUUCCAUCAUGUGUUGGUGGAGGAAGAUGGCGAUCUUGCCGAGAAGUCUCUCCACCUCUUCGUGAGUCUUUAUUCUUUUGUUUUCAUCUUUUUUGUCUUUGUUUCGUCCCUGAAGAAGAUGCCCUCCUCGUUAGAUCCAAGGCCCCGUUUAUAUGGGAGUAAAGUUGUUGCAAGAAGCUAGUGAUAUGGUUAAUAAUUUGUUGCACAUGCUCCACCUUUCUAGCUACAACCUAUUCUUUAUUAAUCGCUCUCCGAUAUAUAAGGAGAAUAAUUUUCUUUGUUCAUUGACUCAUUCAUACUCAAAGAACCUCGGGAUCUAUGGGCCGACUUCGAGUUCUCAUGGGCAUGUCUAAGCUCAACUCGAGGUCGUCGUUAGCCGGUUUCUUAUCUUUUUGGCGGGAAGGAUUUAGUGCUAAAUUCUGGUCCAGCAUUUGUCCCCCCAGUUCUUCAAGUGAGGCGAUGAGGUUGUAGAACGGAGAAGCUUUUAAUCAUGACUCCGAGCCAUUUUCUUCUUUAAUGAGUUCGCAAAGUCGUUCGCCAUUUGAUGGCGAGAUCAUGCAAGAACAAUUGCAUUGAGUGUUCGAUCUUGGCCUGUUUGUCGUGAUCAAAAUGUGAAUUCGAUCUCAGCUUAUUUGGUGUAUUAUAUCAAGCCAUUUGAUGUUCCUUUGAUCACUAAGUGAUCGAUUUCGUUUAUGUAUGUGGGUUAAGGAAAUAGUUCGAAGUAGUCUGUUGGAGACGCCGCACGGGAGACGAGAAUUGGAUCGAGCUCGCAGUUUCACAAAUAUGGGUCGAGCUUGUCAGCGGAGUCGCUUAUUUGAAAAGCAUAGAGAGUUAUUUUGAUCUCUCAUGGUAGAUGGGAUUUUGUGAUUGAAUUUGUUUCUGUUUAUGAUUUUUUUGAUGUGAGUCUGGUUGCUUAUUCCGCGUCAACUCGAGUUCAUGUUAAUAUUUCUGUGUUUGUGUAAAGGUGUUGGAUAUAAUCUCAACGAAGCAUUAAGUCAAUGCAAAUGAUUGGCUACACGUAGAGAGUCGAACCUUUACUUUGGUUUGGCUAUAGGAGCAAUUUAUAUCGCUCAUCCUCGAGAUGCUUUGCGAGAUGGAAGCUGAUCAGGAAUCCAACUCGCGGACCAGUCGUGGCCUAAGGACGCGGUUUAUUGAUGUUCUUUUUCGAUAUAGAGGGUGGUUUAUGUCGAUGAGAGCUUGGGUUGUUUGAGACCGUGUGGUAAAACUCGCUAAGAGUUUGAGCUUGUUUAAAGUUGAAAAUAGAGUUUAAGGAUAUUUCGAGCUAAUUGAAACAGAAAAGUGAAUCUCAAUAGUAGUUCGAGCUACUGGUAACAUGAGAAUAAUGUAUAAAACAUUUUGCGGUUAUAUAAGUUUAUUUAUGAAACUUGCGAUUUGAAAUAGUGAUUUGAAUUUGAUAAUAUAUAAGUUAUAAAAGUGAUGCGAGAAUCUAUUCUAUGAUGCAAUGUAUUUGUGUAUAAAUAGAUUAAAGAUAAUUAUUUACCGACCUGGGCAUGUUCUGGUUUUAACUACUGCGAACUAGCGGAGAAGAAAUAGUGUUGGAUGUUUGAUCGGUUUUUCCUCGUGUAGUUGAUGAGAAGUUUAUACGUCUGUGAAUUAUUAACUUGAUAUGUGCACAACUCAUAGUACGCCAUCGCGAACCAUGUCGCGCUUACUGCCUCUUGCAGCUUUGCUUUUGUUUGGAAAUAUCGUUUAGAAAACAUGUGAUCUUAGAAUAUUUCUACGUGGUUUGUCCAGAUUAACUGUUUUCCUUAAAUGAUUCCGUGGUCGGGGCCUUUUAGUGAUGCUUUUGGAUUUUGUUUGUGAUUUUUCACGAUUCGUUAUAGAUAAAGUCUAUUUGCUUCUUCUGCGGAAAGGGAUAUACUGGCCCUUUAAGUAGUUCGAGAUCGUUUGAAGUCAGGCGUUCGACGGCUCUUUCAUAAUGAAGUGGAUGGAUUUGUCACUUAAGGAGUGUAGAAUGCAAGGCUUGAGCUUUCUUUGCGCCUCUCCGGUAUUUUUUUUCGAUCUGCUUGAUAUCAUGCUCAAUAUAUCUCUGGAGGCACGAUAAGAGCUUGUUCAAAAGCUUACUAUCGAUCUGAGAGUGUAAAGUUUCAUUGGCUUCUUGACUUCAGCUCUUUGGGAGUUGUGUUGGUCAAUAUUUUUGAAGAGUCGAACUCGGCUACUGAGCUGCUAAGGUUCCUUGGACAUAUGACUCAUUGUUUUCGUGGAGCAAGAUCCAGUUUCGGGUCCUCGAGCUUCUGUAUCAGAGAUCGAACUCGAUGCCAUUAUUGGAGAAGGGCGACUUAUCGAUCCUUCGUGUUUCACAAGCUCGUUAGAGGUCGAGUCUGUCUAUUUUUAACUCGGAUGUAAGAACUGUAUUUGCUUAAUGAUAGUGGAUAUGUGUUUCAUACAUUUCGUAUCUGCGUCAUUAGGGUUUCGGGAGCUCGAUAGCUCGAGGGAAUUUUGCGUUGCCUUUGGUUGGUCAAAUUGAUUGUAGCACGAACUGGUAGGCUUUCGCGUUCGAGCUAGUUGAUCCAAUAUUUACCCAGUCUAUUGAGACUUAGGCUGUGGUGAUUUGAUUUGGAUUGUGGUGUUGUCGAGAUGCUUCUUCGGUCUAGAAAUGUACGGAUCGUAAAAUAAAAAAUUCGGGAGCACCUAGAGAUUCUCUGUGGCUUGAUCGUGUUACGUCGGUGGCGCUCAAAUAGGACAAGUCGUCGAGAUGAUAUGACUGUAAAUAGUGUCUCUCUUUGAUCUUUGGUCUUCGUAGUGGGACUUUUGUCUUAAUUCACGACCUCUGUUUGUUGGAAAAGUCUCUCGACUCUUUUCUUUCCUUUUGAACAAACCAACGGUUAAAGGGUUGAUGAUAACAAUUUUUUUUUAUAUCCUUUGGCGGGAUGUUGUCCCCCAGUUCUUCGAGUGAGCUGACGAGGUUGUAGAACGGAGAAGCCUUUAAUCAUGAUUCCGAGCUCCCUUUUCUUUAAUGAGAAGUUUUCCUUAUUGGUCCUGAGCAAGCCAUCAGCUUCGUCGGUUUUGAAUGGUACGUCGGUUUUGGUUAACGAGUUCGACAUCGUGAUCGUGAUAGAAGAACUUGUACCCUUGUUCGUCUAUCAUAGUUAUAAUAUGAUCUCGACUCUUAUUAUAAUGAAUACAGAGAUUUUCUUAUGUUGUAGGAAGAUCGUAACGAAAUGGUGUGUCAUCAACUUGAGAUUUUGUUGGGCUACGUUCGUAAUGGGAGAGAACCACUUCCAUCGAACAUAUGGCUGUAUUUGGCUCUCUUUAGCUAACGAGAGUUUCCUGGUCGUCUGUUUAUAACGCACAUCCACUUCUUGUUUGCUUUUCGUGCGGCGAAUAUCAACUAUUGAAUAUAUUUUUUCUAUAAACAAUUAGAAUCAUUUAACGCCAACAAUCACAUGAUGAUAGGAGUAUGGUGAUUUUUUUAAUAUUUUCUCUUGAGCGGUGAGAACUCUUCUUCGCUGGAAGGUGAGAGAGGGGUGCUUGUAGUCAUGGUUGCCCAACUUGUGAGCUUUCGUUCAUGGAUGUCGAGUUGCUUUGUCGGAUGAAGGAUUAUAUUCUGGCCAAAUACGUUACCAUAUUUGACUCGUGAAGCGAAUGUUGAACAUGCUAAUGGUCUUUAAGACUCGGCCUCUUCUUCUUUGAGAAGUUCGCGUCUUUGUUCGUUAUUAUAAUGAAAAUAUGAUUCGUUUCUUGUUGUAAUAUGGACACAUUUUUACUUUGUGCAUCAUGCAUAGAAUCGAGUGUCUUCCCUUCUCAAAUAGUCUGAAUCAUUUUGUUAAUAAUCACAUCUAGGCAGACAUGGUUUAAUGAAUGAUCGAUCGCACCAGGUCGGGAGGUUGAUUUCACCAAUCUUGAGCGAGACGUUAGUUCAGUCUCGAGCGAAGCGUUUACCUUCAUCGGUCUCGAGAAAGAUGUCGGCUUUAUCAAUUUCGCUGUCUCAAGCGAGACGUUGGUUUCAUUGGUCUCGAGCGAGACUGAUCGACAUGAAACAUCUUCGGUGUUGUUUCUCUCGUUGAACCAAAGAAGUCUUUAGGGGCUCGUGCUUCUUCUUUGGGAAGUGGAGAAGUCUUCAUAGUGAAAGAUGUCUACGGUUUUGGCUCCUUGAGGUCCAAGAAUUCUCGUUUGUCACCUUUCCAUCAAACGGUGGUGAGUAUAUUCCUUGUUUCCUUGUCGGUGUUUUGCUCCAAGAAAGAUAUGGUGUAAUCAUCAUAAAAAGAGGAAGUCAAAACCAAUUCACAGGGCACAUAGGACUAUCAUUUUUUUUGGUGGAAGAAGAUCCUCAUUAUCAUGAGAUCAUAAUAAUAUAUUUAUGUUUCUUUACGAUUCUCUCCAUCCUCAAAUGAGAAGUCUCGUUGAGCUGAUUUGCUGGAGGAAAGAUUCUGGUCUGGUCGAAUACGUGACCGUGUCGUGAAGAAAAUAACGAGCACAUUAGUGGUCUUUAAGAGCCCGUACUCUUAUUCUUUGGAAGGUGGAGAACUUUGGUCUCUAGAUGUCUCUUUGAUACAGAUAUCGAGCUCUCGAGGGUCGGUCGUACUUAGUUUUUUGUACACAUUCUGAAUGCUCGAGGUAUUGUGUUUCGGCCUCUUUAGAUUCUUCUUUGCCUUUGAUCAUCUAUUGAUUGAGGAUUCCUGCUCGAUUCGUGGUAAGGUCUUUUUCUUCGCUUUGUUCUAAGACCAUCUUCUAUUGAUAAUCGCUUUGAUGCAUCUGUUCGGCUAGCAACCUUUCUCGUGUUGGGCAAUCAUUUGAAUGGACCCGAACUCGGGAGGUCGGGCUAUCAGAACUUGUCGUCGGCCUCCUGCUAUUUGAGAACGUUAUCGGUGAAACUCGGCGAGAUGUAUUAUUUUUAUCAGUAACAGAGAUUCAAUUUAGCUGAGGUCAGGAUCAAAUCUCAUGUUCUGUUUCUCGUUUAUGAUCUAGUAAGAUCGAUGCCAUCAUGGUGUGAUGGUUCGUUUGUUGUGGUAUUAGACACCAUAUGAGAUGGAUCCAUUUUCGUGCUUACAAGCCUUAGAUCGGGUUCCUAUCAAGGAUGUUUUUCGUUUCUCUUCCCCACAGACGGUACCAAAAUGUAGAUCCUAAAAUCUACACAAAGAAUUUGAUAGUGAUCGGGAGUUCAAUCUUGGGAAGAAAUAACGUGGGCAAAGAUAUCCUUAGAACACAACGAUGUAAUCAGGUAUGAGUCGACAAGAAUGGACUAUAUUCGCAGGUCAAAUAUCAUAGAGAUAUCAGGAUUAAGAAGGAUCGUGACUGAACUCGGGAUCGAGCUGCCUACGUACCCGUCAAGGGAUGAAGUCUUAACGUAGUUCGAUUAUAAUCAUCUCGAAAGAGAUGUCGGUUUCUUCGGUCAUGGGCGAGACCUCGACUUCGUCGGUCUCGAGCUCGAUGUUUGCUUCGAGCUCUCUUGUCUUGAAUAAUUAGUAGUUAGUGUACGAUUGAUAAGUUCUCGAACUGCAUAUGAUCUCUUUAGAUCGAUCUUGUCGUAUGAAGAUAAGGUCGGUCAUUAACAUGAUACAAGGGUCGCUAUCGUCAUGGAUUCUUGUUUUCACAAUUACAAAGAUGUGUUUACAUCGUGAGAUGAUUAUUGGGAAUCUCAUCUCUCUCGUUCUUCGUAAACCAUAUCCCUUAUGGUUAAAUCAAAUAACAAAGUUUGACUUCAUGUGUAACAAUUGUCAAAAGAGGAAUCUUCCUUUCAUUUUUUAUACCCGCCUAACUACAAAAGUCUAGGCGUGACGAGUUAUAAUAUAAAGUAAUUCGAAUUUUCCAUUUAGCAUUUUCCAUUUUAUUGCUGUGUAAAUUUUAGUCAUACCGGUAAGAUACAUUGACUAAUUGGUCCAUUAUAUAAUGUCAUACCAAGAAACUGUCAUUGUUUAGACAUAAUGCUAUUGCUAAGAUGUUCCCAGGAUAUGAUUAGUUUAGAUUUAUCUGUUUAUGGUACAAAAUCGCGUGAGAACUCAUCUGAUUUAAAUACUAAAAGUCAGAUAAACGAUUUUUUAAAACAAGUUAAGGACAUCAUCAAGGGAAUAUGUACAGCUAAAACAGCUAUCGUCACAAGGCAGUCGCUAAAAAUCUGGCACCGACUUGAACCGACUAACACGUGAUGCUAACUAACCUCUAACGUUGGUUUUCAAAAGAAAUCGAACGC
rnacentral:lncRNA from 1 species